GCUAUCGAGGUGGGACUAAGCCAUGCCAGUCGAACGCCCCCGGACUAUGGCGGGGGAGUGGCAGACUGCUCAGUAACACGUAGCUGACCUACCCUCGGGACGGAUAUAACCCCGGGAAACUGGGGCUAAUAUCCGAUAGGCGUGGAAUCCUGGAAUGGUUUCACGCCCAAACGUUAGCACGCCCAUGUCGCGUGCACACGCCCGAGGAUGGGGCUGCGGCCGAUCAGGCUGUUGGUGAGGUAACGGCUCACCAAACCUUUGACCGGUACGGGCCGUGAGAGCGGUAGCCCGGAGAUGGGCACUGAGACAAGGGCCCAGGCCCUACGGGGCGCAGCAGGCGCGAAACCUCCACAAUGCACGCAAGUGCGAUGGGGCUACCUCGAGUGCCGCCUGAAGAAGGCGGCUUUUCCAUUGUGUAAUGAGCCGUGGGAAUAAGAGGGGGGCAAGACUGGUGUCAGCCGCCGCGGUAACACCAGCCCCUCGAGUGGUGGGGAUGAUUAUUUGGCCUAAAGCGUCCGUAGCCGGCUCGGUAAAUCUCUCGUUAAAUCCAGCGUCCUAAGCGUUGGGCUGCGAGGGACACUGCCGAACUAGAGGGUGGGCGAAGUCAGCGGUAUUUCUGGGGUAGGGGCGAAAUCCAUUGAUCCCAGGAGGACCACCAGUGGCGAAGGCUGCUGACUAGAACACGCCUGACGGUCAGGGACGAAAGCUGGGGUAG
rnacentral:rRNA from 1 species